rnacentral:rRNA from 1 species
ACUCCUACGGGAGGCAGCAGUGGGGAAUAUUGCACAAUGGGCGCAAGCCUGAUGCAGCCAUGCCGCGUGUGUGAAGAAGGCCUUCGGUUGUAAAGCACUUUCAGUCGUGAGGAAGGUAGUGUAGUUAAUAGCUGCAUUACUUGACGUUAGCGACAGAAGAAGCACCGGCUAACUCCGUGCCAGCAGCCGCGGUAAUACGGAGGGUGCGAGCGUUAAUCGGAAUUACUGGGCGUAAAGCGCAUGCAGGUGGUUUGUUAAGUCAGAUGUGAAAGCCCGGGGCUCAACCUCGGAAUAGCAUUUGAAACUGGCAGACUAGAGUACUGUAGAGGGGGUAGAAUUUCAGGUGUAGCGGUGAAAUGCGUAGAGAUCUGAAGGAAUACCGGUGGCGAAGGCGGCCCCCUGGACAGAUACUGACACUCAGAUGCGAAAGCGUGGGGAGCAAACAGGAUUAGAUACCCUGGUA